rnacentral:misc_RNA from 1 species
UCCGAUUUAACAUCGGCAGUCUCUCUAGAGUGCCCAACUUAAUGAUGGCAACUAAAGACAAGGGUUGCGCUCGUUGCCGGACUUAACCGAACAUCUCACGACACGAGCUGACGACAGCCAUGCAGCACCUGUGUCCUCCGUCCCCGAAGGGACUCUCCAAGUUUCCAAGGAGAUUCAGAGGCAUGUCAAGGCCAGGUAAGGUUUUGCGCGUUGCUUCGAAUUAAACCACAUAAUCCACCGCUUGUGCGGGUCCCCGUCAAUUCCUUUGAGUUUUAAUCUUGCGACCGUACUCCCCAGGCGGGAUACUUAACGCGUUAGCUAAGCUACGGCCGGGGUCAAUACCAGCCACAGCGAGUAUCCAUCGUUUAGGGCGUGGACUAC